rnacentral:rRNA from 1 species
GAUGAACGCUGGCGGCGUGCCUAAUACAUGCAAGUCGAGCGAACGGACGAGAAGCUUGCUUCUCUGAUGUUAGCGGCGGACGGGUGAGUAACACGUGGAUAACCUACCUAUAAGACUGGGAUAACUUCGGGAAACCGGAGCUAAUACCGGAUAAUAUUUUGAACCGCAUGGUUCAAAAGUGAAAGACGGUCUUGCUGUUACUUAUAGAUGGAUCCGCGCUGCAUUAGCUAGUUGGUAAGGUAACGGCUUACCAAGGCAACGAUGCAUAGCCGACCUGAGAGGGUGAUCGGCCACACUGGAACUGAGACACGGUCCAGACUCCUACGGGAGGCAGCAGUAGGGAAUCUUCCGCAAUGGGCGAAAGCCCGACGGAGCAACGCCGCGUGAGUGAUGAAGGUCUUCGGAUCGUAAAACUCUGUUAUUAGGGAAGAACAUAUGUGUAAGUAACUGUGCACAUCUUGACGGUACCUAAUCAGAAAGCCACGGCUAACUACGUG